UACCUCAAGUCAAGUAAGAAUACCCGCUGAACUUAAGCAUAUCAAUAAGCGGAGGAAAAGAAACUAACUAGGAUUCCCUUAGUAACGGCGAGUGAACUGGGAAAAGCUCAAAUUUUAAAUCACCUCGGUGAAUUGUAAUUUGAAGAAAGUGGUUUGACUUUUCAGUUUAAUCUAAAUCCUUUGGGAUGAGGUAUCAUAGAGGGUGAGAAUCCCGUUCUUGAUUAAACCUCGGAUUGCACUAAAUUCACUUUCUAAGAGUCGAGUUGUUUGGGAUUGCAGCUCCAAAUGGGUGGUAAAUUUCACCUAAGGCUAAAUAUAUGCAAGAGACCGAUAGCGAACAAGUACCGUGAGGGAAAGAUGAAAAGUACUUUGAAAAGAGAGUUAAACAGUACGUGAAAUUGUUGAAAGGGAAACGAUUGAAGUCAGUCAUGCUAGUGAGGAAUCAACUUGGUGGUUUACUUCCUUGUGCAUUUUCUCGCUUGGCAGGUUAGCAUCAAUUUUGGUUGUCAUCAAAGAAUUGGGGGAAUGUGACUUUUCUUCGGUAAAGUGUUAUAGACCCUGAUUGAUGUGGCGACUGGGAUUGAGGUUUGCAGCGGAUGCCUCUUGUGGCUAGUCACCUGUCUUCUGACCGUCACCUCACUUUUGACAGCUUGCUGAUGAUUGCGGGAUUUGGCGACCUAGAAGUUAGAGUGAACAUAAAUUCGCUAAGGAUGCUGACGUAAUGGCUUUAAACGACCCGUCUUGAAACACGGACCAAGGAGUCUAACAUAUGUGCGAGUGUUUGGGUGAUAAAACCCGGAACGCGUAAUGAAAGUGAUUCUGGUGGGAACCCCUCGGGGUGCACCAUCGACCGAUCAGGAUAUUCUUUGAUAGAUUUGAGUAAGAGCA
rnacentral:rRNA from 1 species